rnacentral:lncRNA from 1 species
CUCUUGUUCUGCUGCCUCCAAUCUAGAGGAGACAGGGAACUCCUGUACAACUCCCUUGGCUCCUCUCUGUCAGAAAUGUGUUUACUUCUGCUUACUUCUCCCAUUCUUCUCAGUUGUUCUCUUUUAAUAGUGCAGCAUCCCCUUUAAUCAUGGAUUUGAUCUUGGAAGAACUAAAUCUUAUGUAUCUAAAAAGAGCUGAGUGAGGUGAUGUCCCUUGUCACAAUACUCACUUGCAUUUGCAAGAGCAAUAAACACAGUAUUUAAAAUAUUCUCGGGUAUGAAUGUACAUCAUAUCUUCUGUUUCACAGUUAUUUCUUAUACUUGUGCUAUUACUUCAUACUUACUGCAAAGUAACUCACUCCUCUUUUGUGAACUUUAGGGCGAUGCUUCGCGUAUGUACUGUCUAUACGUGAAAUCGGCCUCUCUCUGCUGUUGGCUUCUGUGAUCAUUUCCAUGUAAUAUAUUUUGAUUAUCUGAUCCAAAUCUCUUAGGUGAAAAGCCAUCAAUAGUUCUUCAAGUCAAGCAUUUUUUCUCCCUUAGUUCUAUCACCAGUGUGCUUCCUUGGAAAAGUUUUGUGUGUAUUUUGCAUAGCCAGCAUGCUUUAACUGUCUUGUCUCUCUCCUAAAUGGAAGCGUGCUGUAUCCUUACAUUGCCUUAUAGGCCUCAAGUCAGCCCUGGAGUUCUGCAGCGUUGUUUGAAUUGGUCCUGCCUCUGGCAUACCUUGUCUCCAGGAUACACUGUACACAUUCUUUGCCCAGCUUCAAAUGUCUUCACCGAAUGGGUGUCUCAUGGCACCUUUCCAUAUGGCUUGCACUAACACAUAUUUCUCAUAAGAGUUGCUGCUCCUAUAUUUUUGCUGCAUGGCCACCAAAAAUAACAAGGUAUUUGGAAAAAUAUGCACGAUUCAUGACAAUCUCCUCUUUAAGGUUUCAAAAGACGUUAAUUACUUACGUUUACAUAUUCUUGAGGAUUCCUUUUGUCCAGUUCCAGGAAAGUCCAGCAGUCAUUCUUACUGCUUGCUCCAGCAUGAAGUAGGGAAAGGGGCUGAUUGCAGCCUUCCAGGAGGAGCCAGAAGGUCCUCUCCUCAUUCUCCUUCAACACCUGGCAUUGUGCCCCCCUCCACAAACAUUUCUCUAGGAAUGUCUUAAAACCACUCUGCUUUCAAACCUGGCCUGGGGAGAUAUUCACAGAAACAAGUUCCUUCUGAAACUGAAGAAUCACCAAUACCAAGAAUAUCUGACUCAGAACACUCAAAACAAAUUGUUGCUGAAGAGCUUUUUGCAUUUUUCAUUAGUUGAUGAACACUGAGGAGCAUGAUCACAGCUGUUCUUCCCCCUUUUAUGAGCUGUCGUAGAAACUGAUGCAUAAUAAAAAUCAUUGUACAUAAACA